rnacentral:rRNA from 1 species
UUAGGGGCCCUACAAGGUUUACCGACCCCAAUCAAACUCCGAAUGCCGUUUAUAUGAAUCACGGGAGUCAGGCUAUGGGUGAUAAGGUCCAUGGCCGAGAGGGAAAGAGCCCAGACCAACAGCUAAGGUCCCUAAAUAUAGGCUAAGUGUAUAAGGAUGUGAAUUUGCUCAGACAACCAGGAUGUUGGCUUAGAAGCAGCCAUCAUUUAAAGAAAGCGUAACAGCUCACUGGUCAAGUGGAUUUGCGCCGAUAAUUCAUGGGACUCAAGCUUAUUACCGAAGCUGCGGACUUGGAUCUUCGGAUACAAGUGGUAGGGGAGCGUUCUGUUAUAGGAUGAAGGCGGCUGGUGAUGGCCGCUGGACGAAGCAGAAGUGAUUAUGCCGGUAUGAGUAGCGAUAAGAGAAGCGAGAAACUUCUCCACCGAAAACCUAAGGUUUCCUGAGCAAGGCUAAUCCGCUCAGGGUAAGUCGGCCCCUAAGCCGAGGCUGAAAAGCGUAGGUGAUGGGUAUCAGGUUAAAAUUCCUGAACUGUCUGUGGUGCGUUUGUACGAUGGGGUAACGCAGGAGUGAAAGGCCAGCCGGGGGAAGGUUGUCCCGGUUUAAGCAUGUAGGGGGGUGGUCCAGGUAAAUCCAGACCGCCAUAACCCCGAGGUGCGAUGAGGAGUCCGAAAGGACGCAAACUGGCCCUAAUCAUACUGCCAAGAAAAACCUCUAAGUAGUGUCACAGAUAACCGUACCGUAAACCGACACAGGUAGGUAGGGAAAGAAUCCUAAGGUGCUCGAGAGAACCCUUGUUAAGGAACUAGGCAAAAUAACCCCGUAACUUCGGAAGAAGGGGUGCCCCCGCUGGUGAAAUUAUUUACUAACGGAGCUGGGGGGGGUCGCAGUGACCAGGCCUGAGCGACUGUUUACUAAAAACACAGGUCUCUGCUAAGUCGCAAGACGACGUAUAGGGACUGACACCUGCCCGGUGCUGGAAGGUUAAGGGGAUGUGUUAGCGCCUUCGGGUGCGAAGCACUGAACUGAAGCCCCAGUAAACGGCGGCCGUAACUAUAACGGUCCUAAGGUAGCGAAAUUCCUUGUCGGGUAAGUUCCGACCUGCACGAAUGGUGUAACGAUCGACGCACUGUCUCCACCAGGGACUCGGCGAAAUUGAAUUGGCGGUGAAAAUGCCGCCUACCCGCGACUAGACGGAAAGACCCCGUGCACCUUUACUGCAGCUUCACAUUGGGUCUUGAUAUUGCUUGUGUAGGAUAGCUGGGAGGCUGUGAAACGGGCACGCCAGUGUUCGUGGAGCCAAACUUGAAAUACCAGCCUGGUAAUAUUAGGAUUCUAACCCCGUGCCGUUAUCCGGGCGGGGGACAGUGUGUGGUGGGUAGUUUGACUGGGGCGGUCGCCUCCCAAAAGGUAACGGAGGCGCGCAAAGGUUACCUCAGCGUGUUUGGCAAUCACGCGUCGAGUGCAAUGGCAUAAGGUAGCUUAACUGCGAGACCUACAAGUCGAGCAGGAACGAAAGUUGGUCAUAGUGAUCCGGCGGUCCCGUAUGGAAGGGCCGUUGCUCAACGGAUAAAAGGUACGCCGGGGAUAACAGGCUUAUCUCCCCCAAGAGUCCACAUCGACGGGGAGGUUUGGCACCUCGAUGUCGGCUCAUCACAUCCUGGGGCUGAAGAAGGUCCCAAGGGUUUGGCUGUUCGCCAAUUAAAGUGGUACGCGAGCUGGGUUUAGAACGUCGUGAGACAGUUCGGUCCCUAUCUGUCGUGGGCGUAGGAGAUUUGAAGGAACCUGUCCCUAGUACGAGAGGACCGGGAUGGACGUACCUCUAGUGUACCAGUUGUCUCGCCAGAGGCAUCGCUGGGUAGCUACGUACGGCAGGGAUAAACGCUGAAAGCAUAUAAGCGUGAAGCCCCUCCUGAGAUAAGAUCUCCCGGACUUCGGUCCCUGAAGGCUCGAGGAAGACGACCUCGUUGAUAGGCCGCAGGUGUAAGCACAGUGAUGUGUUCAGCCGAGCGGUACUAAUAAGCCGUGCGGCUUAAUCAU